GUCAAAUUAUUUACUAGAAAAAACAUUUUUAUGAAGGGAAAAUAAUAUAUGUGAGUUUAAAUAGGAGACAGGAUUCAAAUUUUCAUCAUUUCACAAAAUGCAUCUCCAUCUGAAUUGUCGUGUGCUUUUUGUGAUAGAGAAGAGAAUGAGGAGCAAGCAAGAGUCCAUGUUCCUGUUAAGCCCUGGCCGUCCUUCUCAUCCACGGUGCUGCCUGUGGAGAACACACCUGGGGCUCCUCUGAGCCUGCUUGUGCUAUGUGUCACUCGGAUAGUUCCGCAACCGACUCGCGUGCAACAGGCAGUAAACACCGAUGUCGUGAAUGAACGAAGAAACUACCACAAAGAGGAAACGAGGCACUUUUGUCCCUGCACGUCAUUCUAACCAUGGGAUUGUGGGUCCUGAGUAGGACCCAAGUGAUCAGAAAGGAUAUCACAUAGUCAGUGAUCAGCUGAGACUAAGUACGGACAGGGGAAGAAGAAUAUCCACUAGACUUUCACAAGUCACCAGUCAUGGAUUUCAGGAUCUGACUGCUUGUCAUCUUGGGAGACAUCAAGAUCUGACUGCUUGUCUUCAUGGAGAUGUCAGGAUCUGAGUGCUUGUCACCACGGAGACAUCAGGAUCUGACUGCUUGUCAUCUUGGGAGACGUCAGGAUCUGACUGCUUGUCAUCACGGGAGACGUCAGGAUCUGACUGCUUGUCAUCUUGGGAGACGUCAGGAUCUGAGUGCUUGUUACCACGGGAGACAUCAGGAUCUGACUGCUUGUCUUCAUGGGAGACGUCAGGUUCUGAGUUCCUGA
rnacentral:lncRNA from 1 species